UACUUACAAUGAUGGGCUGUGGCUUAAGAAGUGAAGAUCAGAAGAGUCUGUGGACAAGGUAUGAUGGUGAGAAAGUAUUGGGUUAAUAGGUUGGCAUUUUGAUUGAAGUAAGUUGGGGAAAACAGAUAAUCAGAGAAUAGAGUGUCUCAGUUAAUAAUUUCCUUCGCUGCUGGUGACCAAGUUCAAGGUAUGAUACUAAAGUAGGGGAACAGAUCCCUGAAGAAGGGCCAAGACCUGGGAGGCCGUAGCGUUGCCUGUCACCUGAGUGAACGAGAGGACUGUGAAGCAGGGGCCAGAGGUGUCAGUGAGCGAAGGAACAUGGUCAGGAAGGAGGUGAUAGCAAGAGUGCAAAAGGCUUCAUCGCCAGAUCGUUUGCUUCAGAGGACGAAAGUGUGUUGGCUGGCUGCAAAGGAAAUGGACUGUUUCAGACUAGCUGAGUUUUAGUUA
rnacentral:lncRNA from 1 species